UACGUAGGGGGCAAGCGUUGUCCGGAAUCAUUGGGCGUAAAGAGCGUGUAGGCGGCCCGAUAAGUCCGCCGUGAAAGUCCAGGGCUCAACCCUGGAAUGCCGGUGGAUACUGUCGGGCUCGAGUCCGGAAGAGGUGAGUGGAAUUCCUGGUGUAGCGGUGAAAUGCGCAGAUAUCAGGAGGAACACCAAUAGCGAAGGCAGCUCACUGGGACGGUACUGACGCUGAGACGCGAAAGCGUGGGGAGCAAACAGG
rnacentral:rRNA from 1 species